rfam:Rhizobiales bacterium TMED28 19030, whole genome shotgun sequence.
GAGAAGUUAGUGUUGGACGUAAUUAUCGCCAAUCGGGUCAGGUCCGGAAGGAAGCAGCCACAACGAUUUUUUUGCGGGUCAUGAGCUAGCUUCUCACU